UACGUAGGGGGCUAGCGUUGUCCGGAAUCAUUGGGCGUAAAGAGCGUGUAGGCGGCCCGGUAAGUCCGCUGUGAAAGUCGGGGGCUCAACCCUCGAAUGCCGGUGGAUACUGUCGGACUAGAGUACGGAAGAGGCGAGUGGAAUUCCUGGUGUAGCGGUGAAAUGCGCAGAUAUCAGGAGGAACACCGGUGGCGAAGGCGGGUCUCUGGGCCGAUACUGACGCUGAGGAGCGAAAGCGUGGGGAGCGAACAGG
rnacentral:rRNA from 1 species